rnacentral:piRNA from 1 species
GGGCUGAGUGCUAAGGUAGGAGGUCCUUC